UACGGAAGGGGGCUAGCGUUGCUCGGAAUCACUGGGCGUAAAGGGUGCGUAGGCGGGUCUUUAAGUCAGGGGUGAAAUCCUGGAGCUCAACUCCAGAACUGCCUUUGAUACUGAGGAUCUUGAGUUCGGGAGAGGUGAGUGGAACUGCGAGUGUAGAGGUGAAAUUCGUAGAUAUUCGCAAGAACACCAGUGGCGAAGGCGGCUCACUGGCCCGAUACUGACGCUGAGGCACGAAAGCGUGGGGAGCAAACAGG
rnacentral:rRNA from 1 species